GCCAGGCAUGGUGGGGCAUGCCUAUAGUCCCAGUUACUCAGGAGGCUGAGGCAGGAGGAUCACUUGAGCCCAGGAGGUCAAGGCUGCAGUUAGCUGAGAUCAUAUCAUGCCACUGCACUCCAGCCUGGGCAACAGAGGGAGACCCUGUCUCAA
ensembl:misc_RNA Metazoa_SRP Metazoan signal recognition particle RNA